GAUGAACGCUGGCGGCGUGCCUAAUACAUGCAAGUCGAGCGAACAGACGAGGAGCUUGCUCCUCUGACGUUAGCGGCGGACGGGUGAGUAACACGUGGAUAACCUACCUAUAAGACUGGGAUAACUUCGGGAAACCGGAGCUAAUACCGGAUAAUAUAUUGAACCGCAUGGUUCAAUAGUGAAAGACGGUUUUGCUGUCACUUAUAGAUGGAUCCGCGCCGCAUUAGCUAGUUGGUAAGGUAACGGCUUACCAAGGCAACGAUGCGUAGCCGACCUGAGAGGGUGAUCGGCCACACUGGAACUGAGACACGGUCCAGACUCCUACGGGAGGCAGCAGUAGGGAAUCUUCCGCAAUGGGCGAAAGCCUGACGGAGCAACGCCGCGUGAGUGAUGAAGGUGUUCGGAUCGUAAAACUCUGUUAUUAGGGAAGAACAAAUGUGUAAGUAACUAUGCACGUCUUGACGGUACCUAAUCAGAAAGCCACGGCUAACUACGUG
rnacentral:rRNA from 1 species